rnacentral:lncRNA from 1 species
GGUGACUGCCGAGGCGGCCAUCCUGCUUGGCCAGCUGAAGGACCAGGUGCCACCUCCUCUGGGAAGCUUUCCCUGCCCGUCCACAGGGUAUGCCUCCUUGUUCCUCUCCUGCCAUCGGUUUACGUGCCUGUCUCCAUCAACAGACCAGGAGCUCCUGAGGACAGGGACUGAGUCUGCCUGAUUCAUCUCUGCAUUCCUAGCACUUACCUUGGUGCUUAGUGAAAGCUCGAACCUGCCUGGGUUCCCACCUUGUCUCUGCUACCCCCAGCUCUGUGAACUCAGAGUCAUUUUUCUCUCCCCGAGUGGCACCGGGCUCAGCAGACACUCUGGCCAUGAAGGCAUCUUCUGACUCAAGCAGGCUGGAGUGCAAUGGCGUGAUCUCGGCUCACUGCAACCUCUGCCUCCCAGGUUCAAGCAAUUCUCCUGCCUCAGCCUCCCGAGUAGCUGGGAUUAUAGGCAUGCACCACCACGCCCAGAGCCAACUACUAAGCCUGUAGCAGCCUCCCAAACUGCCCAGUCUUGUUCAGAUGCACCUCCAGAAACACAGGGGUCCAAAAUGCCCCUUCCCAGACACCCUGAGGAGUAGAACAGUGCCAGCAGGCUCCAGGGAUGAGGGACUAGCUACCACAUUCCCUUUCCCAAGCCUCAGUUUCCCCACCUGUAAGAUGAGGGAUAUGGGCUCUGACUUUCUGAGUUUGGAAAAUAAAGUGCUCCCCAAACUGG